AUCACUUCUCGGCCUUUUGGCUAAGAUCAAGUGUAAUAAAAUGUAUACAUUCUUGUCAUGUUUUUUUUUCUAAGUAAUAGAUUGCAGAAGCAUUUAAUUAGGGAAUAUCUUUGACCAGGUUUAACCCUGCAGGCUUA
rnacentral:snRNA from 1 species